UUCCAAUCAGAUGUCUACACCUUUUCCACCGUUUAAGAGUUCCUCGCUUUUAAACCCUUUCCACCGUUUAGGAGUUCCUCGCUUUUAAACCUUCUUUCAAUCGGUUUCUAUCGGGUGGUAGACCAUUCCACCGUCUCUCUCACAAUAGUCGCAACUUAUGGGCUUAUGCUUCUAGAUCGAGGCCUUCGAUUACCUUCUAAUCGACCGAUGAGAUCGACACAUACUACUCCUUCCAUGGCGGUUUAGGUAGA
rnacentral:lncRNA from 1 species